GACAGAGGGUGCGAACGUUGUUCGGAAUUACUGGGCGUAAAGCGCGUGUAGGCGGCAACGCAAGUCGGGCGUGAAAUCCCACGGCUCAACCGGGGAACUGCGUCUGAUACUGGGUGGCUUGAAUCCGGGAGAGGGAUGCGGAAUUCCAGGUGUAGCGGUGAAAUGCGUAGAUAUCUGGAGGAACACCGGUGGCGAAGGCGGCAUCCUGGACCGGUAUUGACGCUGAGGCGCGAAAGCCAGGGGAGCAAACGGG
rnacentral:rRNA from 1 species